rnacentral:rRNA from 1 species
AGAGUUUGAUCAUGGCUCAGAACGAACGUUAGCGGCGCGCUUAACACAUGCAAGUCGAACGAGAAAGCACCUUCGGGUGUGAGUAAAGUGGCGCACGGGUGAGUAACACGUGGGUAUCUACCCUUUGGUGGGGGACAACAUCUCGAAAGAGGUGCUAAUACCGCAUAAGUCGGCCUUCGGGUCGGGAAAGGUGGCUUCGGCUAUCGCCAGAGGAUGAGCCCGCGGCCCAUCAGCUUGUUGGUAGGGUAAUGGCCUACCAAGGCUACGACGGGUAGCUGGUCUGAGAGGAUGAUCAGUCACACUGGAACUGAGACACGGUCCAGACUCCUACGGGAGGCAGCAGUGGGGAAUAUUGCGCAAUGGGCGAAAGCCUGACGCAGCGACGCCGCGUGGGUGAUGAAGGCCUUCGGGUCGUAAAGCCUUGUGGGAGAGGGACGAACAACCUGUGGGAAUAAUACCCCACAGGCCUGACGGUACCUCUUCAGAAAGCACCGGCUAACUCCGUGCCAUCAGCCGCGGUAAUACGGAGGGUGCUAACGUUGUUCGGAAUUACUGGGCGUAAAGCGCGUGUAGGCGGCUGGCAAGUCAGAUGUGAAANCCUCGGCUCACCGANGAANUCUUUAACUGCUAGAU